UGUGUUCACACCCCAGAUGCUCCUACAAAAAAUCACAUGGCCAGUUGAGGACAGUGAUGAUGAAGACUUUGACUUAGAGUCCACGUGCCGCGUCACUGGCUUUCUAAGGUUGUUCAUUGAAACAGCUUCAUCAGGUACCCUGGCCCAGCUGUUGACAUUCUGGGUUGGCUGGGAGAUGCUUCCUCCCAAACUGAGAGUGGAGAUUUCUGGGGGAACCCUUCCUACGUCCUCCACAUGCUUCGAAACACAAAAGCUGCCAGCUCAUUUCAAAACCUACAUGGAUUUUGAGGAAGCACUUGUCUCUGCCAUAAAUAGUGCACAGACUGGAUUUGGACUUGUUUAAUUUUUUCAGACAGAUGUCAUUGAAUGCACUGUUAAGUAGGUCAGGUCAAUUGACACAAGUUCAGUGUCUUUGAAAACUAAUAAACAAAUAAAACACUG